UGACAGAGUGAGGGAGGGGGUGACUAGUGACAGAGUGAGGGAGGGGGUGACACAGUGACAGAGUGAAGGAGGUGGUGACUGUCACUAGUCACCCCCUUCCCUCCCUCACUCUGUCACUAGUCACCCCCUUCCCUCCCUCACUCU